AUACUCAUUUUGGUGGCACAUGUACUUAAAUUUGGAACAAUGUAGAGAAGAUUAGUAUGGCCCAUGAACAAGGAUGGCAUGCAUAAAACAUACAGAACUUGUUAUAUU